rnacentral:lncRNA from 1 species
CCAAAACAAGGGAGGCACGGCCAGGGGAAGGGAGGCGACAUGAACUCGUCGUCGGGCGAAAGAAAGGGAGGCACGGCUGCGAAUCCGCUCUCAUGGAAUUCCUCUUUUCGCUCACGGAGUUCACACCCACGGUAAGUCGUCUGGGAUAAAACCCUUGUUCUCUCUUCUUUUUCGCUCCCAAUCUUCGAAUCUUGUUUUCUUCUCGAUUUCGUGGCGUGGAGGGGAGGAGUAGAUUCCGGACGAGCUGGUGGAACACUACCUCUCCAGCAGCGGCUUCCACCGCCCAGACUUGUAGGUAUUCUCUCCCCUUCUUCUCCUUCUUCUUCUUGUAAUUUCCCCUUCUUCCUAUCUGGCCCUCAUGAGCAGUUCUUUAUUCCUUCUAUCGACCAAAUGCCUUGUUUUAUACAUAUAAGAUGGCUGAAUUGAUGGUUUCCUUUUUUUACUUUGUUCUUCCGCUUUCCUUUUUCACUUUGCUUCUAAUCCUAGAAAAUUUUGAUGAUUUGAUGCUUCUUGUACGUGGUUGUUCUUGACCUUUGUUUAACCUCAGUUUAACUUUCUUGUACAUGCCAAAUAGCAGCCAAAUAGUAGUUGUUUCAUUGUGAUGGUCGUAUUGGAUAUGCGGUGCUUCUUGAAAAUUAAGCAAUGAGAAAUUUUGUGUUAAUAAUAAGAUUUAGAUUAAAGAAUGUAGGCUGGACUGGAACUUUUUCCUCCUUGUUGUGGAAGCCGUGCUAGGGUCACGGGGGCUGGGCGGAGGUGGUGAACAGCCAGUGGCAGCGACCAGCUGGCGAGAAAAACAAAAGAAAACCGUCGAAUCACGGGAUUCACUUGACUCUGUUUUGAGCGUCAGGCCAUGCACCGGCAGCCAUGAUUUCUGCCGUGUGGGAUUGCAAAGAGGUCAAGGAGCUUGGCUGGGGUUCUGGAAUCAAGAUGCAGCGGCAUUUGUGGCCGGAAAAAGCGAAACCUCAUUCAAAAAUGCUAGUCAGAAGAUAUUAUUUAGAUUUCUUGACCUUCUAUAAGUAUCUAAGAUCUACCUAGUACGUAGUCAAUGUAGGACUAAACACACAUCCACACAAAUCCUCACAUACUCUUCUUGUUUAAGUCUUGGCAUCCUCAUCAGGCGGUCUAAAUCUAUUCAAAUCUAAUUGCAAGCACCACAAUCAAUUUGUGGCCAGCCCUAUUAGACCUGUGCUAUAGUGUCUCCUAAUUCAUAUUGGCCAUUAUCUGGGUCUACUCUGAUAACAUUUUUAACAAUCCAGGAUCUCACCUGAAAAGGCUGGUCAAAAAGUAUUAUUUGGAUCUAUCUAGUACAUAGUAAGCAUAUAGAGUAAGAAAGAAAAAGGAAAAUCAAGGCUUUACUUUGGCUUCGGUGAUAAUCGCAGCCUUGGUUUCGAGCGGCUACAAUAAUAGGAUGUGUUGGACUCUAGUGGGAAAGAAGGUUAUGUUCAGUGGUGGAGAGUUGUGGAGGAGCACGGAGGCAUCCUUGUGCAGGAGCCCUAGGGCUUUGCCUGAGUCUAGUGGCUCUAGGACUCCGAUUCCAUCUGGAGUCUUUGGAGAGGAAGAAGAAUUCCUCUCUUUUGCUACUUGUCAUGUGCGAAUCAUGUGCAGGGCCAGCGAUGGGCCAAGACCAGCUCAGGCUGGUCAAGUAGACUGGGCCUUGACCAGGCCUUCACCAAAUGGGAGGGAUUGGUCUUGCUUAUUGAUGUCAUUGAAAAGGCUGAUUGCAUUGGAAAGCUGGAUGCAAUAUAUUUUGUUGUGCCACAACCAAUAGUGAUCAUGUAUUCUUCCCUUUUGUUUUUUUGUUGUUAUGUUAAUCUGAUUGAUGCAGAUCAAAAUAGUUAUGGAUGUGGCAGCUUCAGAUUUUUUCACAGGGGAGGGAAAUAUGAUUCAGAUUUUAAGAGAAAGACAGAUGAUGGGGCUUAUGUUGAUACAGCUCAGAGCUUCUGUGAAUUGUAUAAAGAAUUUGUUAGAGACUUCCAUAUUGUGUCCACUGAGGAUCCUUUUGUCCAAGAUGACUGGAGUUCUUGGGCAUCUUGGCAAUCUUCAGUUGAUUUCCAACUAGUUGGUAAUGAUUCAUUGGUUACUAAUCCAAGGAGGAUAACUAAAGCAAUACAGGAGGAGGCUUGCAAUGGUUUGCUAUUAAAAGCAAGCAUUUAGCAUCCUUUGUUACUAUUAAAUCAUAAGUUUGGCAAGUCGAAUAUUUGAUAUGGUUAGAUAAUUACCUGAACCUAGAAGCACUUUGUUUUUACAAGUUGUAAGGUUUCACCACAAUGGAUAUCAACAGAUAAUUACUUUAACUACUCUAUAUCUAGAUUCAUACCUGCCGGUACCAUGUGAUGGAGUUCAGUGGAAAAUUCAUUCAUGGAGGGGAAAAAAGUAGAUUAUUGUUAUGUAUAUCUGACAAAAUAGAGUAUUUGGUUCUUGGAUUGUUCAAAUUUAUGUUGAGCAACUUUCUUGUAAAUGAGCUGCCUAUCAUUGCGCACAUCCUGUUUAGGUUGCUUCCUGUGCUACGCAGGGAAAUACUAUGUAGUUUGGACUGCAGGACUACUCUUAGGAUCAGGUGCAUGAUGCAUGUACCCCUAAUAACAUUGCCUUGUUUGAUCUCAGACAUGUGUUCAUGUAAAUGCUUUUUAUUAAUAUGAACUCUUAUUGGUUAUUUUAAUUCUGAGUUUAGACAAUUGGAACAGCAUGUAAUUCUCAGAACAUUCAAAAGAAAAAGAUUAUAAGAACCUUCAACAGAAAAGGCAAUGACUAUCCAUCUUAAGUUUAUUUUCCGGUCAAUCGAAUUGGCGCAGCUAGUGAAUCCAUUAAAGUUGCUCUUGACUCAAAAGCUGCAGGCUGGGGAGCGAUGGUGAGUCACUAUAGUGGGGAGACAGAAUACAAUUUUACUAGUAUCUCCCCAUGGAACUAUUUGUAUGCAACGUUCCUUGACAAUGAUGACUAGUCUUUGUAGUAGUAAUUUUUUUUUCCCCUUUUGGAAGUCUUGCUUCCUAGUAUCCUCAGUUCUCAAUUAUCAUGACCAUUAGCUUCUAAGCAUUUUCAUAUCUGUUUGUGAAUAAUUCUUUUGCUCUGGCAGUUCUUCUCAAUGGAUAGAUUGUAGAUCCGUAAUAUUCAGCCUCCACUUCUCAUGUCUAUCAACUCAGUUGGCUUCUCCUCAUGGAGGUCCUUUAAGGUCUUUUUUCUUAUGUGAAUAUACCAUUACUAUCAGUUCUCUAUUUCUUAUACUUUUUUGAUGCCCUUCCUAAUUUUUUUGGUUCACACUGUUCAAAUUCUUAAAGAUUAGAAUGAUGAUGCUAUAUUCAAAGUUGAGUGGAAUUCUUGAAAAAUCUAGAGACAUCAGUUGUAGUAAGGAUUGUGUCAUGAUAAAGAUGAGGUACUAGAACCAAGCUCACUGUAGGUUAGUAUUUUCUGCAGGUCAGCAAAGUCCAUAAGAUUUUGUAGAAUUUAUGAGCUUAAAUAUAUUUACCAAGGCAGAUUUUGAAUUUUUUCAUAGGGCUAUCCUUUUGGUUCCUGAAAUAAUAUCUUGAGUUUCAAUGUCAAUUUCUUUGUUGUAUUCAUACUCUCUAGACAUUCAGCUUUGUUGUUAUUUGUCCUGUUCUGUGUAACCCUUCUACUCACAUUUAUUAAAUUUCAUAUGUAGUUUGGAAGAGUUAAUUUUACUCUGUUUUAAAACAUGAUAUCAAUAGUGCAUGUCUUUUGCAGCAUCAACAUGUUGAUGAUUGGACUACCUCUUGCAUUCUGUUAUCUCGACAAACAUGGUACUCUUAAGCACUUUAACUUCCAGUGAGGCAUGAAACUAUGAGCCUUUGGAUCUCAAGUUAAUGGUUUAGAGAACUUAAUGAAGCAGAGAGAGAGCUUUUGAGAGUAUUGGAUUCUAAAUGAGUUUUUUCCCUGGCCUAGAAGAAAGGUGUUUGUUCCUGAAUGUUUAUCAUAAAUCAAUGAUAGCCCUCUUAAAAUUAAAAUCAUAUAUGUAAUUAUAUUCUACAAUCUAAAAUGCCUGGAAACUAAGAGUUACUUGUUUGAAAAUCUUUUAUCUCAAAAUCAAUUUUAUCACCAGUCGAUAUGUAUUUCAAGAUGUACAAAUCAACAUUAAUAGUCUGGAUUUUAAAUACUUUAUUUAUCCAUUUAUAUGAGAGAAGGGAGGGAG